rnacentral:rRNA from 1 species
GAUGAACGCUGGCGGCGUGCCUAAUACAUGCAAGUCGAGCGAACGGACGAGAAGCUUGCUUCUCUGAUGUUAGCGGCGGACGGGUGAGUAACACGUGGAUAACCUACCUAUAAGACUGGGAUAACUUCGGGAAACCGGAGCUAAUACCGGAUAAUAUUUUGAACCGCAUGGUUCAAAAGUGAAAGACGGUCUUGCUGUCACUUAUAGAUGGAUCCGCGCUGCAUUAGCUAGUUGGUAAGGUAACGGCUUACCAAGGCAACGAUGCAUAGCCGACCUGAGAGGGUGAUCGGCCACACUGGAACUGAGACACGGUCCAGACUCCUACGGGAGGCAGCAGUAGGGAAUCUUCCGCAAUGGGCGAAAGCCUGACGGAGCAACGCCGCGUGAGUGAUGAAGGUCUUCGGAUCGUAAAACUCUGUUAUUAGGGAAGAACAUAUGUGUAAGUAACUGUGCACAUCUUGACGGUACCUAAUCAGAAAGCCACGGCUAACUACGUGCCAGCAGCCGCGGUAAUACGUAGGUGGCAAGCGUUAUCCGGAAUUAUUGGGCGUAAAGCGCGCGUAGGCGGUUUUUUAAGUCUGAUGUGAAAGCCCACGGCUCAACCGUGGAGGGUCAUUGGAAACUGGAAAACUUGAGUGCAGAAGAGGAAAGUGGAAUUCCAUGUGUAGCGGUGAAAUGCGCAGAGAUAUGGAGGAACACCAGUGGCGAAGGCGACUCUCUGGUCUGUAACUGACGCUGAUGUGCGAAAGCGUGGGGAUCAAACAGGAUUAGAUACCCUGGUAGUCCACGCCGUAAACGAUGAGUGCUAAGUGUUAGGGGGUUUCCGCCCCUUAGUGCUGCAGCUAACGCAUUAAGCACUCCGCCUGGGGAGUACGACCGCAAGGUUGAAACUCAAAGGAAUUGACGGGGACCCGCACAAGCGGUGGAGCAUGUGGUUUAAUUCGAAGCAACGCGAAGAACCUUACCAAAUCUUGACAUCCUUUGACAACUCUAGAGAUAGAGCUUUCCCCUUCGGGGGACAAAGUGACAGGUGGUGCAUGGUUGUCGUCAGCUCGUGUCGUGAGAUGUUGGGUUAAGUCCCGCAACGAGCGCAACCCUUAAGCUUAGUUGCCAUCAUUAAGUUGGGCACUCUAAGUUGACUGCCGGUGACAAACCGGAGGAAGGUGGGGAUGACGUCAAAUCAUCAUGCCCCUUAUGAUUUGGGCUACACACGUGCUACAAUGGACAAUACAAAGGGCAGCGAAACCGCGAGGUCAAGCAAAUCCCAUAAAGUUGUUCUCAGUUCGGAUUGUAGUCUGCAACUCGACUACAUGAAGCUGGAAUCGCUAGUAAUCGUAGAUCAGCAUGCUACGGUGAAUACGUUCCCGGGUCU